rnacentral:lncRNA from 1 species
GGAAAACAAAAUGAUCACAGGAUCAAACUUAGACAAAAAGGAUUUUACUGCCAUUAAAUUUUAGGCAGCCACUUUUAUCCAAUCAUCACAAACCAUUGCUCUAUUUCUUUGUAAUGAUUCUAUAACAUGAUGCAUUAAUUAGUUCUUGUUUUGAGG